rnacentral:rRNA from 1 species
AACAAACGCUGGCGGCGUGCCUAAUACAUGCAAGUCGAACGGGGAAUAUACCUUCGGGUAUUAGUACUAGUGGCGCACGGGUGAGUAAUACGUAGAUAAUCUUCCUUAAAGUGGGGAAUAACCAGUCGAAAGACUGGCUAAUACCGCAUAAGACCACAGGCUCUGAGGAGCUAGGGGUUAAAGGCUUCGGUCGCUUUAAGAUGAGUCUGCGUCCCAUUAGCUAGUUGGCGGGGUAAAAGCCCACCAAGGCUGUGAUGGGUAGCUGGUCUGAGAGGAUGGCCAGCCACACUGGGACUGAGACACGGCCCAGACUCCUACGGGAGGCAGCAGUAGGGAAUUUUGCACAAUGGACGAAAGUCUGAUGCAGCGACGCCGCGUGAGUGAUGAAGGCC